AACAGAACCUUUGGCCGUGUUUCCUUAACUGACACACUACAAAGAAUCGCUGGUGCUACUUGUUUUACCACUAGAGACAUAUUGAGUGUAAUUGAAACCCUCACACUGGUGAUAAAAGGCCCCUCUGAGCUCUGUAGCUGCUGCUGGCAAUUGGAGCUUUGGCUUCUGAGCUGUGAACCAGGGUUCAAAGCACAACGGUGGGUCCUAUCUGACAUCUCCACCCUCUUGUUUGAUUGGUACCUGUGGGAACUGUCAGAUGUUUGCAUCUCGUACACAGAGAAUGCAAAAUUCACUUCAUUCUGUUUUGUUUGGCAGAGUCACAUCAAACCAUCUGCAAGUCACCUCCCUUGCCUUUCUGGACCAUCCACAGCAGAGCCUGGGAAGAAUUGGUGCCUGGGAUUCUCAGAGGAUUCUCCACUGAACCCACAGCACUUCACUCCAGAUGUGGCUGAGGGAAGGGAAUCUCAUGUGAAGUGCAAGGCUGACACCUGGAGGGGACUGCUGAGAUGCAGCUGGACAGCGAUUCUGCAGCACCCAGCUUGGGUUGGGAAAGAUCAGAGCUGGUGGCAAGAUCCCAGGUUUGGGAACUGCUCUUUUCUAGUGAGGGGGUGCUUUAGAUAUUCUUCCCUCUCCCCUUUUCCAGCAAUAAAUAAAAAUACAGAUUCAUAUUUCAGAUUUUCCAUGUCUAUUUUUAGGAGUGGAGAACACAGAAGCAACCUCUGUGUCGGCUGGUUAUCCUCCUCCUCCAUGUUCAAGACUAUUUGGAUCAAAACUUACCUUGCUCAAUAGGCUGCUGCAAAUAAUGCAAGGUUGUUUUUUCAGCUGGUUAGGCUGAUGUGUUUGAACUGCUGCAUGAGAGACUUCCUGCUGCUUUGCCAUUUGGGAAACUGUGCUGGGAGUUUCUGGAGCACAGACUUGCAGGGCAAUUCCUGCUGUCAAAGCUGCAGCUGGAAGAUUUGGCAGUAGGUAGAGCUUGUUCUUUUCAUGUCUGGCUCUGCCGGCAGCCAUGGUGAGGCUUUUGUUGAAGCUGAUCCUAAUCACGGAAUGCAAGGCAGCUUCUGGGACAAAGUCUUAAUGCUUUUGGGAGUUUGCUUUCCAGCCUGGCAAUCACCCAUUCACAGCACUUACUCAAACCUUUUCAGUAAUCUCUCUCCUCUGCCAGGAGUUGUCUCAGUAUUUGUGAGUGCUGUUUCUGCUCAAUCUAAUUUUAGAGUAUGCUAAUAACAAAGUUAUUUACUGUGCUGGCAUUACCGUACACUUUGUGUCUCAUGAACCCAAAGAUUAUGUGUCCAUUACAUCUCCUUAAUUCUCUUUGUCAUUGUCAGUGUGGUUCCAAUCAUAAACUUUGCUUAGCAGUGAAUGGUUGGUUGUGGAAAAAUACCCCAAACAACAGAACAAAACGAACGAAGAACUCAACUGCCAACAGUUACUUUCAGGACUCUUAAAUGGAAUUCUACCCAUCAACCUGCAGAACAUCUCUGUGAGUCUCUGUAUGUCUUCCCUGGUGUACCUCAGUACUGUCCGACUGCCUGUCUUUCCCUUCUAACCUUUACACUCCUAAAAUACCACCAAUAUCCAGUUCAUCCUAAUGAACAUACUGAACUACUCCAUGCAUUCACCACCCAGACCAGCUUAAAGGGUGAGCCAUAAAAAUACUUCUCCAGUCUGGGAGAGAAGAGAGGCACAUUGCCAGCUUCAGGAGCAGCACAAGACAUUCUGUGUGCUGGAAGUGCUGCUUUUCAGCCCAGAGACCUGGGGAACCUAAUGCCACCUCUGUGGCCUCUGUUGCUUCAGCACUUCUCAUUAACUGUGGCAUGACUAAAGAGGCAGCAACAUCUUUCCCCUUCCUCCACCUCAAUAAUAUUGCUGAUGCUAGACUGUCAGUUAUGCUAAAUUAUACUAGAUCACUUGUGGUUAUUCAGUGAUGUAGACAAAUACCAAUUCAAGAUUAAGGGUGAAUCCUGGUCACUAGACUUGUUUCACUUUGUGACUCAUUCCAGACUUAAAGCCUGGCACUUGCUGACAUUUUGUAAACCCAAUUUGUCAUCCUCCUAACCCCCAUCAUCCAAGCCAGGCAGAUUAUUUACUUUGAAAAAACACAUGGAUAGCUUCCAUGCGAAUCCUAAAUAGGUCCAGGUGCCGUAGCUAGAUUCCAGAGGGAGCUACGGUCAUGAGAUGCAUGUGCUGGUAAAAUAACUUCUGUCCUAGAUGCUUCAAAACUCAGUGACAUUCUCCCUGUUUAUAGAUAGUGUCUGGACUUUCAUUCCUGCAGAGCAGCCUGGCACCGGUGUACAGUGCCCAAGUACAUGCCUUCGGGCCUGCGCAUGGUCCCAAAGAGAUCAGCAAAUGUAAAUUUAAGCACAUACUUAAAUACAUGCUAAAAUAGCUUUGGAGUCAGAAUCAGUGACUACCCCCUCUUAAGCAACUCCCUUUGAAUCAUUGCAUUUAUCCCCAAAUAAAGCAUUCAAGUCAAGAAUUAGCUUGCUGCCU
rnacentral:lncRNA from 14 species